rnacentral:pre_miRNA from 1 species
AACCAGCGCAGACAGGCGUGCUCCAACUAUCUCUGGGUGACUGUGUCUUUGAGCGCCUCACUGUCUAGCGCGACUAAAAGG